rnacentral:rRNA from 1 species
CGGGACGGGUGAGUAACGCGUGGAUAACCUGCCUCACACUGGGGGAUAACAGUUAGAAAUGACUACUAAUACCGCAUAAGCGCACAGUACCGCAUGGUACAGUGUGAAAAACUCCGGUGGUGUGAGAUGGAUCCGCGUCUGAUUAGCCAGUUGGCGGGGUAACGGCCCACCAAAGCGACGAUCAGUAGCCGACCUGAGAGGGUGACCGGCCACAUUGGGACUGAGACACGGCCCAA